UAUGUAGAUUAAAAAGGAAAAAUACCCAUCAUUAUUUGGUGCCGAAACCCGGGAUCUCUCAACCCCCUGCUGUCAGGCAGAGGAAGACGCGCUGAAUCCAUGCACGGCCAGAGUCAACUGGACCUGGAAAGAAAGACCCAGGAAGCAAAAUUCUUUGCUGGGCCAGCGACGUAGGUCCGACUUUGUCUGCCAACGGCGGAGUGACGAGAUCCGACUGGACAACCCGAAAACUACAGAAACGUAGGUGAAUUUUAAAAUGGCUAUUUUAGAGGUUUGAGUAUCCUUGUAUGAUGUCGCUCUGCUAAAACUCUGAGGUUUGAGUAUCCUUGUAUGAUGUCGCUCUGCUAAAACUCUGAGGUUUGAGUAUCCUUGUAUGAUGUCGCUCUGCUAAAA